GGUGAGGUGCCGGAGUUGGUCGAACGGGCCGGUUUCGAAAACCGGUGUACCCGCAAGGGUACCUAGGGUUCGAAUCCCUACCUCACCGCCA
rnacentral:tRNA from 1 species